rnacentral:rRNA from 1 species
AGUGAACGCUGGCGGUAGGCCUAACACAUGCAAGUCGAACGGCAGCACAGUAAGAGCUUGCUCUUACGGGUGGCGAGUGGCGGACGGGUGAGGAAUACAUCGGAAUCUACUUUUUCGUGGGGGAUAACGUAGGGAAACUUACGCUAAUACCGCAUACGACCUACGGGUGAAAGCAGGGGAUCUUCGGACCUUGCGCGAUUGAAUGAGCCGAUGUCGGAUUAGCUAGUUGGCGGGGUAAAGGCCCACCAAGGCGACGAUCCGUAGCUGGUCUGAGAGGAUGAUCAGCCACACUGGAACUGAGACACGGUCCAGACUCCUACGGGAGGAAGCAGUGGGGAAUAUUGGACAAAGGGCGCAAGCCUGAUCCAGCCAUACCGCGUGGGUGAAGAAGGACUUCGGGUUGUAAAGCCCUUUUGUUGGGAAAGAAAAGCAGCAGGUUAAUACCCCGCUGUUCUGACGGUACCCAAAGAAUAAGCACCGGCUAACUUCGUG